UUCGGAACUCGUACAAGGAUCUUUAUCCUCAUGUUUCAAAGAUAAUACCAAAUUGGUAUGCAAAGGAGGAGGAUUUGAAGAACCUUUCUAGCCCUUGAAAGAAUACAGUUCCGUCCAAGGAGGAGGAUUUGAAGAACCUUUCUAGCCCUUGAAAGAAUACAGUUCCAUCCAUAUUAAACAACCUAGAUGUCAUUGAUGGAAACAGUUGCUUUGGAUGCAUUGAACUUUUGUAUACUUUUUUUUGUGUUUGAAAUGAAAGCGUCUAUUUAUUUAUAUUUAUUAUAUCAUUAUUUUGAAAUUCUCAUUGUAGUUAACUGCAACACCAAUUGAUUUGCUUCAGCUUCCUCAUUCGAUUUGAUAUUCUUUAGAUAAAAUUUGUUAGAC
rnacentral:lncRNA from 1 species